rnacentral:rRNA from 1 species
UACGGAGGGUGCGAGCGUUGUCCGGAAUCACUGGGCGUAAAGGGCGCGUAGGCGGCGCGGGAAGUCCGUGGUGAAAGCCCGAGGCUCAACUUCGGGCUUGCGGUCGAUACGGGCGGGCUAGAGUUCGGUAGGGGAGACUGGAAUUCCUGGUGUAGCGGUGAAAUGCGCAGAUAUCAGGAGGAACACCGGUGGCGAAGGCGGGUCUCUGGGCCGAUACUGACGCUGAGGAGCGAAAGCGUGGGGAGCGAACAGG